CUUUAGCCCGGCUGCGGCCUCGGGUGUCAGCAGGUGUUGAGGUGACGCUGGUAGCACUGCCAGAGCUCUGCCUCCUCGUACGAAUCCGACCUAGUGAUGCAUAUGAGCCUGGGGGCAGGGCUGCAGCAGAACUGAAGGGGGUGGAUGCUCCAGAAGAUGUCACUUUUGACUUGGCACUAGCUGCUGCAUUCACAUCAACGUCACUGCGGGAUCGCUGCAGAGAUCCUGGUGUUGACACAGAUUUUGUACUUACUGUAGAUGCUCUCGAUGUAGUACUUCCAGUAGGACUUCUUUU
rnacentral:lncRNA from 1 species